rnacentral:misc_RNA from 1 species
GUAGGUGAACCUGCGGAAGGAUCAUUAACACUUUUUAUCCAAUAAAAAAAACUAAACGUGAACUUUUCCCCUCCCUAUAUCAUUUUACAUGAUAUAGGCUACCAUUUUAUUUUAUUUAAAACCACUUUAACUUUUUAUAAGUCUUUGUUUGUAAAGUCUAACGGCCUACAAAACAAAAAGACUGACUAACUAAAAAUUUUACUUAAGAUGUCAAACAUUAAAUGUUGAUCUCUUAAUUAAUAUUUUUUCU